UAGGGAAUAUUAGCAAUGGGCGAAAGCCUGAACUAGCAACGCCGCGUGUGCGAAGAAGGCCUUCGGGUUGUAAAGCACUUUUUGAGAGGAUGAGGAAGGACGGUACUCUCAGAAUAAGUCUCGGCUAACUACGUGCCAGCAGCCGUGGUAACACGUAGGAGGCGAACGUUAUCCGGAUUUACUGGGCGUAAAGCGCGUGUAGGUGGUUUGGUAAGUAGGGCGUGAAAGCUCCUGGCUCAACUGGGAGAGGCCGUUCUAAACUGCCGAACUAGAGGAUGGCAGAGGGAGGUGGAAUUCCGGGUGUAGCGGUGGAAUGCGCAGAUAUCCGGAGGAACACCAGUGGCGAAAGCGGCCUCCUGGACCAUUCCUGACACUCAGACGCGAAAGCUAGGGUAGCAAACGG
rnacentral:rRNA from 1 species